CACAGAGGGUGCGAGCGUUAAUCGGAAUUACUGGGCGUAAAGCGCGCGUAGGUGGUUUGUUAAGUUGGAUGUGAAAUCCCCGGGCUCAACCUGGGAACUGCAUUCAAAACUGACUGACUAGAGUAUGGUAGAGGGUGGUGGAAUUUCCUGUGUAGCGGUGAAAUGCGUAGAUAUAGGAAGGAACACCAGUGGCGAAGGCGACCACCUGGACUAAUACUGACACUGAGGUGCGAAAGCGUGGGGAGCAAACAGG
rnacentral:rRNA from 1 species